rnacentral:rRNA from 1 species
GACGUAGGGCGCGAGCGUUGUCCGGAUUUAUUGGGCGUAAAGAGCUCGUAGGCGGCUUGUCGCGUCGACUGUGAAAACCCGCAGCUCAACUGCGGGCCUGCAGUCGAUACGGGCAGGCUAGAGUUCGGUAGGGGAGACUGGAAUUCCUGGUGUAGCGGUGAAAUGCGCAGAUAUCAGGAGGAACACCGGUGGCGAAGGCGGGUCUCUGGGCCGAUACUGACGCUGAACUGCGAAAGCCAGGGGAGCAAACGGG